UUAUUAGGCAGAACUUGGUAGGAUAACAUUUUAUGAGCAGAAAAGACAUUGUAGCCUAAUUUACUGUUAUUAAAACAAAAAGUCAUGUGCAUGCUAACAUUUUUUUCCCUUCCUUUGUCUGUGUAGAUUCUCCGUCAUCAGGUCAUGGUAAAGCGCAGAAGCUCAAUCAAGCUCUGCUUACCUUUUGGCCUUGCCGUUAUUCCUCUCUACCUGUCUAUGAGGCAUGCAAGCCACAGCACCGCACUCGCGGUCAGGUAUAUUUCCUGGAAGGUGGAAAACAUUCAUCACGGCGGAAAGAGAAGGCGGCGUGAGGCCGCUGACCUGCAAGUGACGCGCUGCCGCCUGCUGCUGCAUCAACACGGCCUUGGUCAUGUUUAGCCACCAACACGCGCACCUCUGGUGUACCAUGCAGGUGGGGGUGG